rnacentral:rRNA from 1 species
GCCAGACUCCUACGGGAGGCAGCAGUAGGGAAUCUUUCACAAUGGGCGAAAGCCUGAUGGAGCAACGCCGCGUGCAGGAUGAAGGCCUUCGGGUUGUAAACUGCUUUUAUAAGCGAGAAAUAUGAUGGUAACUUAUGAAUAAGCAUCGGCUAACUCCGUGCCAGCAGCCGCGGUAAUACGGAGGAUGCGAGCGUUAUCCGGAUUUAUUGGGUUUAAAGGGUGCGUAGGCGGAUUUUUAAGUCAGCGGUAAAAUGUCCGGGCUCAACCCGGGCCGGCCGUUGAAACUGGGGAUCUUGAGUGGGCGAGAAGUAUGCGGAAUGCGUGGUGUAGCGGUGAAAUGCAUAGAUAUCACGCAGAACUCCGAUUGCGAAGGCAGCAUACCGGCGCCCGACUGACGCUGAGGCACGAAAGCGUGGGGAUCGAACAGGAUUAGAUACCCGAGUAGC